UAUGUACUCCCUCCGUUCAGAAUUACUUGUCUCAGAAAUGGAUGUAUCUAGAACUAAAAUACAACUAGAUACAUCCAUUUCUGCGACAAGUAAUUCCGAACGGAGGGAGUACAUU
rnacentral:pre_miRNA from 1 species